GCCAGUGUGGUAUAGUGUUUUGAAUGUUGGACUACAACUCUGGAGGCCAGGGUUCAAUUCUCAGCUUGGCCA
rnacentral:tRNA from 1 species